rnacentral:tRNA from 1 species
GGGCCGGUAGCUCAGCCUGGUAGAGCACUUGGAUAAGAAUCAAGUGGUCGAGGGUUCGAAUCCCUUCCGGCCCG